GGCCCACCUGGCAAUGGACAAAGAGACCUUGCUGGUGGUGAUGUUCUUACAUCAGUCAGGGACAGAGCAGUUGGCAGUCCUUUGUUCAUCCUAGCUUGAUACCUGGCUUGGUGGCCAAAGCUGUCUUAUGCGUAGGAUUCAUAA